ensembl:lncRNA
CUUCUAAUUGUGUCUUCAGUGUUUUCCCUUCUGUGUUCAUUUCUAAUUCAGGGCAGUAUUUUUCCUCUUAUUCUGUCCAUGGCUAGUGUCUUUCCUACUGCACUGUGUGCUUUCUGUUUAAGCCUUUUACAAACUGCAAGAAUAUUUUAUGGAGUAAUUCAUCUCUCCUUUUCCUCCCUGUUUCUCUCAGAAAGUUAUAAAGUUGUUCUUCCAUCUCAACUUCCUACCUACAACUUGAGUGAAGGUCGCUGAUUGGAAAAGCAGUGUCCUAAGGUGCCUUCAGAGAAGUGCCUUACAAAAACGGUUGUAAACUUAGAAUAUUAAACAGCAUUAUCAUGCAAAAUUAACAGUUUAUAUCCUAACACCAGGUCCACUUGCUUCAGUGGGACUCCAGGCAAGCCAGUAUGAGAAAUGAGGAACAUGAGAGCCCAUCUUUUCAGUAUCUCAUUUUGAAUAACUGAUGAAGACAUAAGGAUCUGGAGGAGGUGUUCCCUGAUAUCUUGAAAUCAGCUGUGUUGUAAUACUGUUCACUGCUGCCAAUUGCUGUGAAGAAGCACUACAUCAAGGAGACUCAGUCUAGUCUUCUGCUGUGAUUGGGAGGAAAAAAACUCCAGUAGUUUUAGAACAGUUCCCAAAACAGAAAGAGAAAAGAAGAAGAAAAGAAGAAUUGAAAAGGAGGAAAAAUGCUGGAAGUGCUUGAUUAAGGUAAAAGACAUGGAGCCAUAUUUUUGUCUGAAGGAAUUGAACAGGACUAUUUUUGAGCAGUCAGAGUGACUCCUAAAAGGUGAUUUUUAUUUCCUCUAAAGCUGAGUGCAACAAAGAAGUGUAUAUAUGUCAUUUUCAUUAAAAAAAGAAUACAUAAAUAAAUAAACAAAGGGGAAAAAAAGAAUUUAAAAUCUUCCUAAAUAACAGAAGGCAGCAAAUCUAAGCUAGGCCAAUGCAGAUCUUAAACCCUGAGGCUCAGCUUUUCCUGCUCAAAUGACUCAUUAUCUGGACUGGGUGACACCUCCGGCAUUUCUUUCCUGUGGGUCUCAGGCAGCUUCUUGUUUUCCCUCACUAUUUCCCAACAUGAGUAUUCCCCGCUCACACAGCUUCAGUUCCUAUUGUAAAACAUGCUGCAGAAACAGGAAGAUCUUAAGAAAACAAGC